rnacentral:rRNA from 1 species
CAAAAAGUAUAGCCCAAUUAAUACCAACACUAUAUACAAAUUAAAUUAUAUUAAUUUAGUAAAGAGGAUUAAAAAAUUUAUAGGAGCAAUAACGUACCGCAAGGGAAAGAUGAAAUAGCUUCUAAGUUCAAAAAAGUAGAGCAAACCCUC